AUUGAACGCUGGCGGCAGGCCUAACACAUGCAAGUCGAGCGGUUGAGGGGAGCUUGCUCCCUGAUUCAGCGGCGGACGGGUGAGUAAUGCCUAGGAAUCUGCCUAUUAGUGGGGGACAACGUUUCGAAAGGAACGCUAAUACCGCAUACGUCCUACGGGAGAAAGCAGGGGACCUUCGGGCCUUGCGCUAAUAGAUGAGCCUAGGUCGGAUUAGCUAGUUGGUGAGGUAAUGGCUCACCAAGGCGACGAUCCGUAACUGGUCUGAGAGGAUGAUCAGUCACACUGGAACUGAGACACGGUCCGGACUCCUACGGGAGGCAGCAGUGGGGAAUAUGGGACAAUGGGCGAAAGCCUGAUCCAGCCAUGCCGCGUGUGUGAAGAAGGUCUUCGGAUUGUAAAGCACUUUAAGUUGGGAGGAAGGGUUGUAGAUUAAUACUCUGCAAUUUUGACGUUACCGACAGAAUAAGCACCGGCUAACUCUGUGCCAGCCGCCGCAGUAAGAC
rnacentral:rRNA from 1 species